rnacentral:tRNA from 8 species
GAGCCAUUAGCUCAGUUGGCAGAGCACCUGACUUUUAAUCAGGGUGUCCGGGGUUCGAAUCCCCGAUGGCUCACCA